UAGGGAAUCUUCGGCAAUGGGGGGAACCCUGACCGAGCAACGCCGCGUGAGUGAAGAAGGUUUUCGGAUCGUAAAGCUCUGUUGUUAAGGAAGAACGAGUGUGAGAAUGGAAAGUUCAUGCUGUGACGGUACUUAACCAGAAAGGGACGGCUAACUACGUGCCAGCAGCCGCGGUAAUACGUAGGUCCCGAGCGUUGUCCGGAUUUAUUGGGCGUAAAGCGAGCGCAGGCGGUUAGAAAAGUCUGAAGUGAAAGGCAGUGGCUCAACCAUUGUAGGCUUUGGAAACUGUUUAACUUGAGUGCAGAAGGGGAGAGUGGAAUUCCAUGUGUAGCGGUGAAAUGCGUAGAUAUAUGGAGGAACACCGGUGGCGAAAGCGGCUCUCUGGUCUGUAACAGACGCUGAGGCUCGAAAGCGGGGGGAGCGAACAGG
rnacentral:rRNA from 1 species